rnacentral:rRNA from 1 species
UACGGGAGGCAGCAGUGGGGAAUAUUGCACAAUGGGCGAAAGCCUGAUGCAGCUAUGCCGCGUGUAUGAAGAAGGCCUUAGGGUUGUAAAGUACUUUCAUCGGGGAGGAAAAAACAAAACUAAUAAUUUUAUUUCUUGACGUUACCCGAAAAAGAAGCACCGGCUAACUCCGUGCCAGCAGCCGCGGUAAUACGGAGGGUGCUAGCGUUAAUCAGAAUUACUGGGCGUAAAGAGCACGUAGGUGGUUUUUUUAAGUCAGAUGUGAAAUCCCUGGGCUUAACCUAGGAACUGCAUUUUGAAACUGAAAUACUAGAGUAUCGUAGAGGGAGGUAGAAUUCUAGGUGUAGCGGUGAAAUGCGUAGAUAUCUGGAGGAAUACCUGUGGCGAAAGCGGCCUCCUAAACGAAUACUGACACUGAGGGUGCGAAAGCGUGGGGAGCAAACGAGGAUUAGAUACC